rnacentral:rRNA from 1 species
UACGGGGGGGGCAAGUGUUAUUCGGAAUUAUUGGGCGUAAAGGGCGCGUAGGCGGCUAGAUGUGUCAAAGGUGAAAUCCCUCGGCUCAACUGAGGAACUGCCUUUGAAACUGUCUGGCUUGAGGCCGGGAGAGGGUAGCGGAAUUCCCAGUGUAGCGGUGAAAUGCGUAGAUAUUGGGAGGAACACCAGUGGCGAAGGCGGCUACCUGGACCGGUUCUGACGCUGAGGCGCGAAAGCGUGGGUAGCAAACAGG